UUAUUAGAGAACAUGAUGUUGGUUUAGAUCAAAUGCUAUGUAGAGACAUAACACAUGCAAGUUAUGCUUAUACCGCUUUCGGGUGGGAAAGGAUAGCGUUAAGGUGAGUGAUAUAAGAUAAAGAAAAUAUCUUAUUCAGAUGUAGGUAAUAGAUAAAAAUCUAGCCAUGGAACUGGAGCCGGCGAUAAGCGUCACAACGGCCACAUUGAUAUUAAUCAACUCUUAUAUAGAGCAGCAGUGGGGAAUCUUUGACAAUGGUCUAACGACUGAUCAAGUUAUCUACGAGAAGGAUAUUAAAUAUAUAUCCAUUAAAUGGGAUAAAAAAAAAUAAUAAAAGAUUAACUAUAAACUUCUAAAUAAUAGUAAUAAUGAUACUAAUUAUGAAAGAGUCCUAACUAAAAUAUGUGCCAGCAGCUGCGGUAAGACAUAGAGGGCAAGCAUUGAUCAGAAUGGCUUAAAGGAUCUGUAGAACGUAUUUUUUAAUAAUAAAGAUAUAGAAUAAUAACUCAUAAAGAGAAAGGGUAAUAAGAAUUAAAGUUAGAGGGAUAAAAUACGACGAAAACAUUAAGACUAUAAAGAGAUUACUCUAAAUUAUUGACGUUGUGAGAUGAAGGCUACGGUAGCGACAUGGAUUCGAUACCCAUUUAGUCGUAGCAGUUAACUAUGAGUACAAUAAAAGAAAAAUGAAAAUGAAUAGUACUCCGCCUGACUAGUACGCUCGCAAGGGUGAAAUACAAGACAUUAGACGGUUGUAGUCCCAAGCAGUGGAACAUGUCAUUUAAUUGGAUGAUCCUCCAAGAACCUUACCAUCUCUUGAAUUUUUAACAGGCGUUACAUCGUUGUCGUCAGUUCAUGCCGUGAGGUUUAAUAUUAAGUUAUUGAAUGAACGUAACCCUUUUCUUUUAAGAUAAGUAUAAUUGUAAAAUUAUAGGAAGUAGAGGUAGAAGACUAAUCAUGAUGACCCUAAUGAGAUGGGCUAUCGACGUGUUACAAUAUUAAUAACAAUUAUAUUAACUUUAUGAAGUUAAGAUAUUUAUAUACUUUGUAUAUUUAUUAAAUAUUAAGAAUAAGACAUAGUUUCAUUUAUGGAUUGUAAUCUGAAAUUCGGUUACAUAAAGGAGGAAUUGCUAGUAAUCGUAAACUAGAGAGUUACGGUGAAAUUUUUUGCUACUUCGUACUAACCACUCAUCAACAGCAAGAAAUUUUAAUUUUACUUAUUGAGUUUUUAUUAAAAGGACUUGCUGUAAGUUGAAAUACGGUUCGGUUAGGGGAACCUGAUCGGGAUUUAUUUAUUUA
rnacentral:rRNA from 1 species